rnacentral:tRNA from 1 species
GGACGGAUGGCCGAGUGGUUUAAGGCAGCGGUCUUGAAAACCGCCGAGCGUGUGAGCGUUCCUAGGGUUCGAAUCCCUAUCCGUCCGCCA